ensembl:lncRNA
UCAUGCUUGAGGAAGGCAGGCACUGUGUUAUCCUGAAGCAGAUUCCUUGAGAACAGUAACUAAUAUGAAGUGAUAGUGAUUGUGAGUUUGCCAGUUAAUGGCUAACUGGUAUUCUUAUGCGUAGUCUUGUCGGGCAGGUGUGGCAUUUCUAAUAGGAGUGUAGGGAACAAAUGGGGAUGGAUGUAUUCGGAUACAUUCACUGUGAGACCUUAGGGACUUGUCAGAUAUCAGAGCUAUGGCAAAUAUUUAGUCCAUAGAGAUUGUUGGGGUGCUCAUCAUAGAGACAAGCAGCUGAAAGAAUGGUUGUUUGUGGUUAAUAGGGGAAGCCGCUGGCCCCUCUCGUGUCUACCAGGUGUGCUGAACAGACACCCGGCUGGCACAUCUGUGUGUCCACGCAUCUCUGCAGACUUCAUGUGCCGGAAGCUUCCUAAGCACCUUUGGGGAGCAGAUCAGUUCUUCCUUCAUAGGCUUCAGGCCUGAGUCCCGCCAUCCAUGUUCCCUCAAAGUGGAAAAGCCACUGGAAGGCAGUAUGACAGAAGCCUGAUUAGGAGUCAGAGCUGUCCCACCAGCUGAAAUCCCGAACCUGCCAAGAAACCAUGCCCCUCCAACAGCACGGAGCUGUCUCCCCACUCCAGGACUCCCGCCUGUCCUUCCCUCAGUCCCCUAGGACAGCUCUUCAGAGACGCAAUGGCCUCGGGGCAUUUCCUGAUCUUCUCAGGGAAGAAGCCCAUGACCAGGAGGAUGAACCAACCAGCCAAUCAGAGGCCAGGCUGGACCUGAACCAGGACUGCUCGCAUCCGUUACAUUCUCCCCUGCUCUCUCCGGCUGGACGCAAGAUCGGAGGCUUGGACCCCUCUGCUGACCUCAGCUGGCCCUGUGUGGUGUGGACUGACUCCUUCAUGGCUCAGCUGAGCCCAGGGGACAUCCCAUAAAGCUCUGCAUGCACACACUCUUCUCUCCUUUGUACUGUUAGUUUGGACAUCAGUUUUUUUUUUUUAAUACAUUUAUUUUUAAUUGAAGGAUAAUUGCUUUACAAUGUUGCUUUCAUUUCUGUAAUACGUCAACAUGAAUUAGCCAUAGGUGUACAUAUUUCCCCUCCCUUUUGAACCACCUCCUACCCUUUCCCACUCCUCUAGGUGGUUACAGAGCCCCAGCUUGCGUUCCCUGGGUCAUGCGGCAAAUUUCCAUUGUUUAUCUGUUUUACAUACGGUGGUACACAUGCAUCCAUGCUUCUCCCUCCAAUCAUCUCGCCCUCUCCUUCCUCUUCUCCAACCUGUGUCCCUAAGUCUGUUCUCUACGACAUCAGUUUCUUUUUUCUUUUUUUGAUUCAAGUUCCUCAAGAACUGUUCCUGGGAAAUCUGCCCAUCUCUUAGGAGGCUCCCUCCUGGGGUCCAUUCUUUUCGUCACCUCCCCAUGGUGACAGGCUUGAAGCCAGGCAUGGGGCUGCUUUUGCCAGACCUUGGCCUUGGUCUCCCUUGUGGGUGGGUUUGUGCCACCUCAGGGACUGUGACAUAAGAUACCCUUGGAGUCACAUGUCCUUUUCCAGGAGCUGGGGUGGACAGGCUUCCUGCCCCAGACCAGUUCUGGGUGAAGGGAAAUCACAUGAUGGGGGCUCAGGUCUGAGGGGUCCCGUGGAGUGGAGCCGUGCAUGGCUGGGAGCCCAUCCCGGCUCCGAGGGAAGCAACCAUGUCAGUCUGAACCCAGCAGGUGUUACUGGUCUCUGCCCAUGCAGUGGGCAGGUGGUAUUCUAGGACCUGCUGGACACCAGCCAUGAGUCAGAGGGCCACAUGUAUGGCCUGAAGGGCGUCACAGGGCCAGGGUCAGGGGAGAGGCCUCCCAGGACCAGGUGAAGGCAUGUGGGGGCACCUCAGGGAGGGGAGCAGCAUGCACCUCAAGCGUGCAGGGGAGAAUUUCGUGGGUUGCGUGGAGUAG